rnacentral:tRNA from 1 species
AGCUGAUAAUUUAAGUUAAAAUAUUAGUUUUGGAGACUAAAAAUAUAUAGAUAUAUUUUGCUGAU